CAAACAGUUGCUAAUGCAAACCAGGGGGAUAUAUUAAAGCCCACCACCACCCCAUUUUGCACACAGCAAAGACCCUGAAAGGAGUCAAGGCCAGUUUUGGCUUGUGACAACACGCCUGUGCUUCAUUUCUAGCUAAGAUUUGAUUCUAUUGUUAUUGUGUUUUGGAUUAUUCUGGCUGCAUUUGUGGGAGUCCUCUUUCUCUGUUUGAAUCUCAUGUCUGGAACUGGGCCUCUACCUUGGAGUCCCAGACGCAGAAGUCAAAGGAGGCGCAGGUCCAAUCCAAUUUA